CCCGGAGGUCGGGGACGGGCACGGGCCGCGCCUGGUUCAGGACCAGGCGCACCACCCGCCCGGCUCGGAGGCGGGUGCCGGGC
rnacentral:tRNA from 1 species